rnacentral:lncRNA from 1 species
AAAGUCAUUGACAAGUCGUAUCUGCUAUCAGUGGAGGUGAGGAGUAGGUAGCUUCGUUAGAAGAGGGAACAACGACCGCCUCAGUAACAGCGUAGGGCUGGACACGGUCGCACAAUGGGUUCGUCAUCGACUCCGCCCAAAGAAGUGUCGCCUAUGUCUACGCAAUAUCCCAAUCAGUUCACUCCACUUAUUCCUAUUCAUUUCACCAACCUCGUGUUUUUUUCACAAGCACUACACUGCGGACCACCACCACACGUGCCCAAUUCUUUUGUUCCCGCAAGUAUAUAUUUCGGGGUACUGACGUCCCCCAAAUUUUAUACCCCCAUGCUGAUCCAAAUGUCUCACCAAAUGCCGA